GGGGAUAUAGCUCAGUUGGUAGAGUUUUUGCCUCAUAAGGACAAGGCCCUGGGUUCAAUCCCCAGUACCGCCA